AGGACGAACGCUGGCGGCGUGCCUAACACAUGCAAGUCGAACGGGGAUUUGUUUCGGCAGAAUCCUAGUGGCGAACGGGUGAGUAACGCGUAGGCAACCCGCCCUCCGGCCGGGGACAACACUCCGAAAGGGGUGCUAAUACCGGAUACGAAGUCUGUGCCGCAUGGUACGGAUUUGAAAGAUGGCCUCUAUUUAUAAGCUAUCGCCGGGGGAUGGGCCUGCGUCCGAUUAGCUGGUUGGUGGGGUAACGGCCUACCAAGGCGACGAUCGGUAGCCGGUCUGAGAGGAUGAACGGCCACAUUGGGACUGAGACACGGCCCAGACUCCUACGGGAGGCAGCAGUGGGGAAUCUUCCGCAAUGGGCGCAAGCCUGACGGAGCAACGCCGCGUGAGUGAGGAAGUUCUUCGGAAACGUAAAGCUCUGUUGUUCCUGACGAACCUCCCCUCUAUCAACAACGGAGGGGACUGACGGUAGGGAACGAGGAAGCCACGGCUAACUACGUGCCAGCCGCCGC
rnacentral:rRNA from 1 species